AUUGAACGCUGGCGGCAGGCCUAACACAUGCAAGUCGAGCGGUAGCACAGAGAGCUUGCUCUCGGGUGACGAGCGGCGGACGGGUGAGUAAUGUCUGGGAAACUGCCUGAUGGAGGGGGAUAACUACUGGAAACGGUAGCUAAUACCGCAUAACGUCGCAAGACCAAAGUGGGGGACCUUCGGGCCUCAUGCCAUCAGAUGUGCCCAGAUGGGAUUAGCUAGUAGGUGGGGUAACGGCUCACCUAGGCGACGAUCCCUAGCUGGUCUGAGAGGAUGACCAGCCACACUGGAACUGAGACACGGUCCAGACUCCUACGGGAGGCAGCAGUGGGGAAUAUUGCACAAUGGGCGCAAGCCUGAUGCAGCCAUGCCGCGUGUGUGAAGAAGGCCUUCGGGUUGUAAAGCACUUUCAGCGGGGAAGAAGGCGGUGAGGUUAAUAACCUUGUCGAUUGACGUUACCCGCAGAAGAAGCACCGGCUAACUCCGUGCCAGCAGCCGCGGUAAUACGGAGGGUGCAAGCGUUAAUCGGAAUUACUGGGCGUAAAGCGCACGCAGGCGGUCUGUCAAGUCGGAUGUGAAAUCCCCGGGCUCAACCUGGGAACUGCAUUCGAAACUGGCAGGCUAGAGUCUUGUAGAGGGGGGUAGAAUUCCAGGUGUAGCGGUGAAAUGCGUAGAGACCUGGAGGAAUACCGGUGGCGAAGGCGGCCCCCUGGACAAAGACUGACGCUCAGGUGCGAAAGCGUGGGGAGCAAACAGGAUUAGAUACCCUGGUAGUCCACGCCGUAAACGAUGUCGAUUUGGAGGUUGUGCCCUUGAGGCGUGGCUUCCGGAGCUAACGCGUUAAAUCGACCGCCUGGGGAGUACGGCCGCAAGGUUAAAACUCAAAUGAAUUGACGGGGGCCCGCACAAGCGGUGGAGCAUGUGGUUUAAUUCGAUGCAACGCGAAGAACCUUACCUGGUCUUGACAUCCACAGAACUUUCCAGAGAUGGAUUGGUGCCUUCGGGAACUGUGAGACAGGUGCUGCAUGGCUGUCGUCAGCUCGUGUUGUGAAAUGUUGGGUUAAGUCCCGCAACGAGCGCAACCCUUAUCCUUUGUUGCCAGCGGUUAGGCCGGGAACUCAAAGGAGACUGCCAGUGAUAAACUGGAGGAAGGUGGGGAUGACGUCAAGUCAUCAUGGCCCUUACGACCAGGGCUACACACGUGCUACAAUGGCAUAUACAAAGAGAAGCGACCUCGCGAGAGCAAGCGGACCUCAUAAAGUAUGUCGUAGUCCGGAUUGGAGUCUGCAACUCGACUCCAUGAAGUCGGAAUCGCUAGUAAUCGUAGAUCAGAAUGCUACGGUGAAUACGUUCCCGGGCCU
rnacentral:rRNA from 1 species